rnacentral:rRNA from 1 species
UACGUAGGGUGCAAGCGUUGUCCGGAAUUAUUGGGCGUAAAGAGCUCGUAGGCGGUUUGUCAAGUCGGAUGUGAAACCCUGAGGCUCAACCUCAGGCCUGCAUUCGAUACGGGCAGACUAGAAUUCGGCAGGGGAGACUGGAAUUCCUGGUGUAGCGGUGAAAUGCGCAGAUAUCAGGAGGAACACCGGUGGCGAAGGCGGGUCUCUGGGACGGUACUGACGCUGAGACGCGAAAGCGUGGGGAGCGAACAGG